AGUAGUAGUAGUCGUCGUCGACGGUGGCGUCUGGCUCCUGGGCUCCAACGUCUGGUCGCAACAAUCGGAUAUAGGAAAGGGGAAAAAGGGGGAGAAAAGCAACCGUGAGUACUCAUCAAAGUACUCGCAAGCAAGGAGCUACACUACAUAUGUAUGCAUUGGUAUCAAAUGGAAUAAGGCUAUCAUAUGUGGACUGAACUGCAGAAUGCCGGAAUAAGAGGGGGGAGCUAGUCCUUUCGAAGACUACGCUUCUGGUAAUCUCCAUCUUGCAGCAGAAGAAGAGAGUAGAUGGUAAGUUCACCAAGUAACAUCGCAUAGCAUAAUCCUAAGCGAUGAUCCUCCCCUCGUCGCCCAGUGAGAGAGCGACCACCGGUUGUAUCUGGCACUUGGAAGGGUGUGUUUUAUUAAGUAUCCGGUUCUAGUUGUCAUAAGGUCGAGGUACAACUCCGGGUCGUCCUUUUACCGAGGGACACGGCUAUUCGAAUAGAUUAACUUUCCUGCAGGGGUGCACCACAUAAUCCAACACGCUCGAUCCUAUUUGGCCGAACACACUUUUCUGGGUCAUGCCCGGCCUCGGAAGAUCAACACGUCGCAGCCCUAUCUAGGCACAACAGAGAGGUCAGCACGCCGGUCUAAAUCCUAUGGCGCAGGGGUCUGGGCCCAUCGCCUUUUGCACACCUGCACGUUGCGAACGCGGCCGGAAGCAGACCUAGCCUAACAGGCGUUCCAGUCCAAUCCGGCGCGCGCCACUCAGUCACUGACGUCACGAAGGCUUCGGCUAAUACCACGACGUCGAGUGCCCAUAACUGUCCCCACGUAGAUGGUUAGUGCGUAUAGGCCAGUAGCCAGACUCAGAUCAAAUAUCAAGAUCUCGUUAAACGUGUUAUCUUGAAGACACCGCGAACGCCGACCAGGGCCAGGCCCACCUCUCUCCUAGGUGGUCUCAACCUGCCCUGUCGCUCCGCCACAAAGAUCCACCCAGAGGGCCGUCGGGACAAAGGUCCUUUCAGCCCCCAAUCCGUGAAUCACUCGCGGGUACUCCUCGAGCCAACCCGACUUUAGUCAUCACAUGUAUCAUGCAUAAAGUAUAGUUAUAUACCCGUGAUCAACUCUCGAGUGAUCACGGCCCGAUAGUAUAGCAUGGCGGACGGACAAGAAUGUAUGGCCAUUGAUGGAUUACUAGCAACCUAUACUAAGCAUGUAGGAUUACAGAUAAGGUAUCAACAGUAGUAGCAACAAUGACAGGCUAUGCAUCAGGAUAGGAUUAACGGAAAGCAGUAACAUGCUACACUACUCUAAUGCAAGCAGUAUAGAGGAGAGUAGGCGAUAUCUGGUGAUCAAGGGGGGGGGCUUGCCUGGUUGCUCUGGCAAGAAAGAGGGAUCGUCGUCGAUGUAGCCGAUCACAGGGGGUAUCAGCAACGGUCUCGGAGCCUACCGGAAAGAAGUAACAGAGGGGGAACACAAUAAAUAACAGAGCAAUCAAAUGUAACACAAAGCAAGACGCGGCAAUACGUUGUGCUAGGGGUGACAUAACGCAGGGAUGUGUGAUAUGAGCGAAGGGGGGAAACAUCCGGGAAAGUAUCCCCGAUGUUUCGCGUUUUCAGACAAAUGAACCGGUGGGGGAAAUUUGCGUGUUCGCUAUGCUAGGGAUGCGUGGCGGACGAACGGACUGCGUAUCCGGAUUCGUCUCGUCGUUCUGAGCAACUUUCAUGUAUAAAACAUUUUCAUCCGAGUUACGGUUUAAUUCCAAAAUUUUAACAAUAUUCUAGAAUUUUGAGUUUAAUUUAAAUCCAAAUUGACCAAGUCAAUGUGACUAGUCAAAAGGAGAGGUGGUGGCCCAUAUGACACUGAUUUAAUAAUUUCCAAAAUAUUUAUCUAAUCUAUUUAGAUGGGACCCACUUGUCAUUUGCUAAAAGGGCUAAUUAGCACUAAACUAAUCCUAAGCUAAACAUAGCCUAAUUAAAGGGCCGGCCAUUAGUGGACAGAGUCCAGCCGGCCACACACGCACUACACACACGCGCGCUGUGUACACACAACACACAUAUAUACACAACACACGCAUACAGUGCUAGGGGUUAAUUCUGUUCUCUAUUUAGAAAAGAUAGCAUUUUAUGAUUUUCAUAGGAAUUAAUCCAUGCAUCAAAUUGAUUUGGUCCAAUGGAAACAUUUGAGCUUUGACAAGUGUAUUACCUAGAAAUAUUAUUCUUACUCCUGUUAACACUUGUUUAGCCGCAGUUUAGGGGCUGUCCAGAUGGCUAAUCAAUGUAGAAUUAGAAAAGCUAGCUCUAGUAGCAGCUACAAUUACUAGCAGCAGUUCAGUAAGCAACGGCUAUGCGCGGCACGGGCGUGGCGCAAUGCAGCAGUAGUUGCAGGCGGCGGCGAGACGUGUGACCAGCGUCGAGCGGGGCGAGCGGGCCUGAUGCGACUGCGGGCGAAGGCGGCCGACGCAAGGAGCUGGUGCGGGCGACGGAGCACUGGCCAGCGCGGAGCUGCAGCAGGCAGCGACAGCAGGAGAAGGCGGGCGCGGACAAUGGGUAGGCGGCAGCAGGUAGGCCGGGAGCGGCGACUAGCGGCGGGUGCGGGCCGGCAUGGCCAGGCGCCGGAGGGCCCACGCGGAGCGCCGCCAAGGGGGCUGUAGACGGAGCGCGGCUGAAGGCGGCGGGCGUGUGCGCGUGCAACGCGGCCCGCGGCAGAGGACGCCGGGCGAGGUUGCGGAGGAGGAGGGGCUCGGGCGCGGCCAUGGCCAGGUAGGCGCGGCGGGGGCCGGGGCGCGCGUCACGCGACGGAGCAGAGCACAACGCGGUCGGCGCGCGGGGUAGGUGUGGAGGCGAGGCAGGGACGAGGUGGCCGCGAGGAGCACGAGCUCGGGCGGCGGCGGGGUGUUCACGGAUGACGACGGCCAUCGGCGCAAGAAACGGAAGAGGAGGAAGGUGCUCACCGCGGGGCACAAGGUGGCCCUUCGACGGCUUAGUAGCUGGAGGGCGGUGCCGGAGCCAUGGAAGACGACGGCGACCGUAGCGGACGGAGGUGAUGGCCGACGUGGAGGAGCGGCGUCGAUCUCUACGUUGAGGCGGUCUUCUACUCGAGGUCGUGGUCGAGGAGGAAGCAGAGGUCGAGGUGACGGCGGACAACGACGGGGACGAGCGCGGUGGCUCCAGAUCGGGGCGCCCACGACGAGGAGUGGACGGGGGCGCGAUGGGGAAAAGUGAGGAGGGGGCUAGGGUUCGUGCGCCGCGGGGAGUAGAUAUAGGCAGGGGAUCGCCGGAUGGCCGCCACGGCGACGGACGGUGCCGUGGCAGGCAUCGGCGCG
rnacentral:lncRNA from 1 species